rnacentral:rRNA from 1 species
UCAAGUCAGCAUGGCCUUUAUAUCCUGGGCUACACACACGCUACAAUGGGAAGGGACAAUAGGUUGCGAAGCCGCGAGGCGGAGCCAAUCCAGCAAACUUCCCUCAGUUCAGAUUGCAGGCUGCAACCCGCCUGCAUGAAGUUGGAGUUGCUAGUAAACGCAGGUCAGCCAUACUGCGUUGAAUACGUUCCCGGGGCUU